GGAAAUGUGGCCGAGUGGUUGAAAGCGUUGGCUUGCUAAGCCAUUGUAUCACAAAUGAUACCAGAGGUUCGAAUCCUUUCAUUUCCG
rnacentral:tRNA from 1 species